AUUGAACGCUGGCGGCAUGCUUUACACAUGCAAGUCGAACGGGAGUGGCGGGGCAACCUGGCGCUUCAGUGGCGGACGGGGGAGUAAUGCAUCGGAACGUAUCCCGUGGGGGGGGACAACCCAGCGAAAGCUGGGCUAAUAACGCAUACCCUCUAUGGAGGAAAGCGGGGGAGCCCGAGAGGGGCCUCGCGCCAUGGGGGCGGCCCAUGUCCGAUGAGCUUGUUGGUGGGGUAAUGGCUUACCAAGGCGACGAUCGGUAGCUGGUCUGAGAGGAUGAUCAGCCACACUGGGACUGAGACACGGCCCAGACUCCUACGGGAGGCAGCAGUGGGGAAUUUUGGACAAUGGGCGCAAGCCUGAUCCAGCCAUGCCGCGUGCGGGAAGAAGGCCUUCGGGUUGUAAACCGCUUUUGUCCGGGAAGAAAAGGCUGCCGCGAACAGCGGCGGUUCUUGCCGGUACCGGGAGAAUAAGCACCGGCUAACUACGUGCCAGCCGCCGCGGUAA
rnacentral:rRNA from 1 species